UACGGAGGGAGCUAGCGUUGUUCGGAAUUACUGGGCGUAAAGCGCACGUAGGCGGCUUUGUAAGUUAGAGGUGAAAGCCUGGGGCUCAACCCCAGAAUUGCCUUUAAGACUGCAUCGCUUGAAUCCAGGAGAGGUGAGUGGAAUUCCGAGUGUAGAGGUGAAAUUCGUAGAUAUCGGGAGGAACACCGGCGGCGAAGGCGGCGAUCUGGGUCGAUACUGACGCUGAGGUGCGAAAAGCGUGGGGGAGCAAACAGGG
rnacentral:rRNA from 1 species